ACGGCAUCCCAAUCAACUGAGGAGGGAACCAGCAUCCUCUGCGGGAAGGCACAUACAGAUGGAUGUGGCCACUGUCCCCUUCACGGCAUUUCACCCCAGGCUCCGCCUCAGAAAGGCAAACCCAGGCUCCACCACCUUGCAGAUUUAAAGAUGCGUUUGAUUUUUACAGUCCCUCUGUUUUCUGACGCAUAGAGGAAAGUGAUAUUGCUACUCCAAGAAAUGGAUGCUUCUAUCCCAGCUUCUACAGACAUCCUGGAAGGCGAGACAGGAAGUGAACGCAGCUGACGUUUCCUUCCCUUUCUUGUGGAUUCAAAAGCUGAAAGCCCUGAGAUGGUGACCUUCUGAAGAUUAUUAAUGAGAACGCCACCCAGAGUUAGGAUUCUCUUAUAGUGAAAUCUAACAUCACAAGGUCACUGCCCGGCGAUGAGUCCCUUGAAACUGGUACUUGUCGGUUAUUCAGGAGAGCUUGGCUGUGUGGGAGCCAGAAGGAGCUAGAAUGAGGACAGGCUUGGGACUCAUCUCACACCCUAAGCGUGGCCAAGUUUGCAGAGCAAUAUCCUGGAACUAUAUGAGUAAAGUGCCGUAAAUCCCCUGCCGUGGGAAGAUAAGUGCCCUGAGUUUUGUAAGCUAAACGCACACUGCUGCUGAAAUCUGAUUGGAAACUCCGUGAUGUGGGGACUGAAAACCGCAAGCAGGAGGCAGGGUUUAAUCUCCUGCUGAAUGAUGGUUCAAGAUAGACCAAGAGAGAGACCUGCCGACUGAUAAAGCAGUCGAUAGCACAGAUGGGAGAUACCCACAGGGAGGGUAGCCGAGGAAGGGCGAGCAUUCCCGGGUCAUCCAGAUGCUCUCGGCUUCUCACUGGGAUAGAUGAGACCCGAACCUCCAGCUACUACGUGCUCACAAUGCGGAGCCCCUGGCAUCUCACCUCUUAGGUAGACUGCCUUAGUCGGGAAUUCGCACGCCUUCAGUCGUCCCACGUGACCAUUAGAGAUGGUAUGAGGCGGUCUUUGAAAGGAAUCUAUGUACUGUAGGAGAGUCCAUAUUCUAGCAAAGAUUUUCCUAUCCAUCAACCUGAGAUUUUAAAUCUUAGGUUUUUUUUUUUUAAUUCCAUUCAUUGGAAUAAACAUACACCUAGAUACAAAAGGACCAGAGAAUGAGGAGAAUGCACGCCUACAGAUUGAAUUAAAGGAGACGCAGCA
rnacentral:lncRNA from 1 species